UGCCCUAGUAACGGCGAGUGAAGCGGCAAUAGCUCAAAUUUGAAAUCUGGCCCUUUCAGGGUCCGAGUUGUAAUUUGUAGAGGGUGCUUUGGCGUUGGCUGUGGUCUAAGUUCCUUGGAACAGGACGUCGCAGAGGGUGAGAAUCCCGUAUGUGGCCGCCAGUCUUCGCCGUGUAAAGCCCCUUCGACGAGUCGAGUUGUUUGGGAAUGCAGCUCUAAAUGGGAGGUAAAUUUCUUCUAAAGCUAAAUAUUGGCCAGAGACCGAUAGCGCACAAGUAGAGUGAUCGAAAGAUGAAAAGCACUUUGGAAAGAGAGUCAAAAAGCACGUGAAAUUGUUGAAAGGGAAGCGCUUGCAGCCAGACUUGCCUGUAGUUGCUCAUCCGGGCUUUUGCCCGGUGCACUCUUCUAUGGGCAGGCCAGCAUCAGUCCCAGCGGUUGGAUAAAUGUCUGUUGAACGUACCUCUCUUCGGGGAGGACUUAUAGCUUCAGGCGGCAUACAACCAGCCGGGAUUGAGGUCCGCGCAUCUGCUAGGAUGCUGGCGUAAUGGCUGUAAGCGGCCCGUCUUGAAACACGGACCAAGGAGUCUAACAUCUAUGCGAGUGUUUGGGUGUCAAGCCCGAGCGCGUAAUGAAAGUGAACGGAGGUGGGAACCCCUCGGGGCGCACCAUCGACCGAUCCUGAUGUCUUCGGAUGGAUUUGAGUAAGAGCAUAGCUGUUGGGACCCGAAAGAUGGUGAACUAUGCCUGAAUAGGGUGAAGCCAGAGGAAACUCUGGUGGAGGCUCGCAGCGGUUCUGACGUGCAAAUCGAUCGUCAAAUUUGGGCAU
rnacentral:rRNA from 1 species